rnacentral:tRNA from 1 species
CAAGGGGUAGUUUAUAAAAAUAUUAGUUUUGGGGACUAAAGAAAGGACAGUAGUUUUACCCUUGA